AUGAGCGAAUCACAAGACCCCGUGAGAAAAUUUUGCACGAACAUGGGAGACAUUGGGCGCUCCUGCUGCUGUUUAGAUGGGACGAUGCACAGACGACCUGGCACCUCCUGGGCCUCCGGCUACCAUCCACCCCGCUCCGAUGGAUGGGGUGUAGAUCUGAGAGAGCAAGGGGCGCCUGGAAGGUGGCGUUGGCGGCGGCCUCCGGCUGGCACCCAUUCCGCUGCCGUGGAUGGGGGUGUGGAUCUGGCAGAGCAACGACCGCUGGGAAGGAAGAGUUGGCGACGGAGAGCGAUAGUCAGCGAGGACAUCGACGGGGAUUCGACCAUCUCCGUCGCAGAUUUGAGGACGGCAACGAACGGUGAGGUGAGAGCUCCAGCGGGGAACGAGAAGGAAAGAAGGGGAAAGAGGUGA
rnacentral:rRNA from 1 species